rnacentral:rRNA from 1 species
UAGCAUAAUCAUUUGUCUUUUAAAUGAAGACUAGAACAAAAGAUUUAACAUUUUAAUUUAUUUAUUCACUUUAUUAAUCAAAAUUACUAUAAAAGUAAAAAAGCUUUUAUUUGUCAAAAAGACGAUAAGACCCUAUAGAACUUAACUUCAGUUACACUGGGGUAGUAAUUCAAUUAUAAUUUUUUAUUUAAAAAUUUCUAUAAAUAUCCUGAUUAUUAGAUAAUUAAGUUACCUUAGGGAUAACAGCGCAAUUAUAUUCAGAAGCUCUCAUUUAAAAAAUAGAUUACGACCUCGAUGUUGAAUUAAUAUCCUAAAUAUAGAAAAUUAUAUUAAAGGAAGUCUGUUCGACUUUUAAAAAAUUACAUGAUUUGAGUUCAGACCGGUGUAAGCCAGGUCGGCUUCCAUCUUUUUAAAUAAGUUUUACAGUACGAAAGGACCUAAAACUUUAAUGAUACAUUUACUAAUUGGCAGAUAAAUGCAUUAGAAUUAGAAUCUAAUUAAAAUAAA